UACGUAGGUGGCAAGCGUUGUCCGGAUUUACUGGGCGUAAAGGAUGCGUAGGCGGACAUUUAAGUCAGAUGUGAAAUACCCGAGCUUAACUUGGGUGCUGCAUUUGAAACUGGGUGUCUAGAGUGCAGGAGAGGUAAGUGGAAUUCCUAGUGUAGCGGUGAAAUGCGUAGAGAUUAGGAAGAACACCAGUGGCGAAGGCGACUUACUGGACUGUAACUGACGCUGAGGAGCGAAAGCGUGGGGAGCGAACAGG
rnacentral:rRNA from 1 species